rnacentral:rRNA from 1 species
GACGAACGCUGGCGGCGUGCCUAAUACAUGCAAGUCGAGCGGACUUUCAAGAAGCUUGCUUUUUGAAAGUUAGCGGCGGACGGGUGAGUAACACGUGGGCAACCUGCCUGCAAGACGGGGAUAACUCCGGGAAACCGGGGCUAAUACCGGAUAAUAUCUUCCUUCGCAUGAAGGAAGGUUGAAAGGCGGCGCAAGCUGCCGCUUGCAGAUGGGCCCGCGGCGCAUUAGCUAGUUGGUGAGGUAACGGCUCACCAAGGCGACGAUGCGUAGCCGACCUGAGGGGGGGGUGGGACACACUGGGACUCAGACACGGCCCAGACUCCUACGGGAGGAAGCAGUAGGGAAUCUUCCGCAAUGUACGAAAGUCGGACGGAGCAACGCCGCGUGAGAGAAGAAGGUCUUCGGAUCGUAAAGCUCUGUUGUCAGGGAAGAACAAGUACCGUUCGAACAGGGCGGUACCUUGACGGUACCUGACAAGAAAGCCACGGCUAACGACGUGC